AACGAACGCUGGCGGCAUGCCUAACACAUGCAAGUCGAACGAGACCUUCGGGUCUAGUGGCGAACGGGUGCGUAACGCGUGGGAACCUGCCUUUAGGUUCGGAAUAACUCAGAGAAAUUUGAGCUAAUACCGGAUGAUGUCUUCGGACCAAAGAUUUAUCGCCCCUAGAUGGGCCCGCGUUGGAUUAGCUAGUUGGUGGGGUAAAGGCCUACCAAGGCGACGAUCCAUAGCUGGUCUGAGAGGAUGAUCAACCACACUGGGACUGAGACACGGCCCAGACUCCUACGGGAGGCAGCAGUGCGUAAUAUUUAACAGUGGUCGAAAGCCUGAUCCAGCAAUGCCGCGUGAGUGAUGAAGGCCUUAGGGUUGUAAAGCUCUUUUACCCGAUAUGAUAAUGACAUUAUCGGGAGAAUAAGCUCCGGCUAACUCCGUG
rnacentral:rRNA from 1 species